UGGGGAAUAUUGCACAAUGGGCGCAAGCCUGAUGCAGCCAUGCCGCGUGUAUGAAGAAGGCCUUCGGGUUGUAAAGUACUUUCAGCGGGGAGGAAGGGAGUAAGGUUAAUAACCUUAUUCAUUGACGUUACCCGCAGAAGAAGCACCGGCUAACUCCGUGCCACAGGCCGCGGUAAUACGGAGGGUGCAAGCGUUAAUCGGAAUUACUGGGCGUAAAGCGCACGCAGGCGGUCUGUCAAGUCGGAUGUGAAAUUCCCGGGCUCAACCUGGGAACUGCAUUCGAAACUGGCAGGCUGGAGUCUUGUAGAGGGGGGUAGAAUUUCCAGGUGUAAGCGGUGAAAUUGCGUAGAGAUCUGGAGGAAUACCGGUGGCGAAGGCGGCCCCCUGGACAAAGACUGACGCUCAGGUGCGAAAGCGUGGGACAAACA
rnacentral:rRNA from 1 species